ACGAAACCCUAAGGUUUUUCAUUUGUGUGUGUGUGUUAUGAAGAGUAAUAAUCAUGCGGAACAAGGGACCAGUCUGGAAAUGGAUCCUCUUCCGACCUCAGGGGGAGACAACCACUAUGAAGCACCAAUGAGCCCAGCCAAGGCAUCUUCAACAAGCGACGUGAAUAAUGAGUAAGGUGAAGACACAGAUCCUGUAAGAUCAAUGUGUAUUUUACUGUGAUGAGAUGCUAGCAUCUGGUUGGUUUGUUUACUGUACAUAGCAGCAACAAAACAACCCUGUUGAUAAUGUGUAUUGUUAGGAUCAUACUCCUGAAAACCUCAGCAAAAAGUGCACCUUCUUCAUAUUCGCAAAACACAUAAAUAGGUGUAUGGCUUCAUCAUUUCAGUUGUACUGGAAUUACAGAAUAUAUUUCUGUGGUUAAAAAUCAAUACUCUUUUCAUUUCAGUUAGUGUUGAUUUUCAUUCUCAUUGAAUUCAGAGUUCUGUAUUCAUUUACAGUGACCAUAAUUACUGUCAGGCAGCACUUCUGUCUGUGCAGUGUAUUUAACUAAUCAGUUAUAAAAACAUAAAUGCUGGCCUCAGGUCUGAAAUGCAUCUUUGCUUUACAUUGGUGAUUGUAUUACAUUACUGGAGUGCAAUUAAUGCUGUUGCUGUCCACGGUUGGACCGACUUAUUUUAGGUAUG
rnacentral:lncRNA from 1 species